AAAUUGAAGAGUUUGAUCAUGGCUCAGAUUGAACGCUGGCGGCAGGCUUAACACAUGCAAGUCGAGCGGAAACGAAAUUAACAAUCCUUCGGGAGCGUUAAUAGGCGUCGAGCGGCGGACGGGUGAGUAAUGCUUAGGAAUUUGCCCAGUUGAGGGGGAUAACUAUUGGAAACGAUAGCUAAUACCGCAUACGCCCUACGGGGGAAAGGAGGGGACCUUCGGGCCUUCCGCGAUUGGAUAAGCCUAAGUGAGAUUAGCUAGUUGGUGGGGUAAUGGCUCACCAAGGCGACGAUCUCUAGCUGGUCUGAGAGGAUGAUCAGCCACACUGGAACUGAGACACGGUCCAGACUCCUACGGGAGGCAGCAGUGGGGAAUAUUGCACAAUGGGCGAAAGCCUGAUGCAGCCAUGCCGCGUGUAUGAAGAAGGCCUUCGGGUUGUAAAGUACUUUCAGUAGUGAGGAAGACAGUAAGUUUAAUACGCUUAUUGUUUGACGUUAGCUACAGAAGAAGCACCGGCUAACUCCGUGCCAGCAGCCGCGGUAAUACGGAGGGUGCGAGCGUUAAUCGGAAUUACUGGGCGUAAAGCGCAUGCAGGUGGUUUGUUAAGUCAGAUGUGAAAGCCCGGGGCUCAACCCCGGAAGGUCAUUUGAAACUGGCAAACUAGAGUACUGUAGAGGGGGGUAGAAUUUCAGGUGUAGCGGUGAAAUGCGUAGAGAUCUGAAGGAAUACCAGUGGCGAAGGCGGCCCCCUGGACAGAUACUGACACUCAGAUGCGAAAGCGUGGGGAGCAAACAGGAUUAGAUACCCUGGUAGUCCACGCCGUAAACGAUGUCUACUUGAAGGUUGUGGCCUUGAGCCGUGGCUUUCGGAGCUAACGCGUUAAGUAGACCGCCUGGGGAGUACGGUCGCAAGAUUAAAACUCAAAUGAAUUGACGGGGGCCCGCACAAGCGGUGGAGCAUGUGGUUUAAUUCGAUGCAACGCGAAGAACCUUACCUACUCUUGACAUCCAGAGAAGCCAGUGGAGACACAGGCGUGCCUUCGGGAGCUCUGAGACAGGUGCUGCAUGGCUGUCGUCAGCUCGUGUUGUGAAAUGUUGGGUUAAGUCCCGCAACGAGCGCAACCCUUAUCCUUAAUUGCCAGCGAGUUAUGUCGGGAACUUUGGGGAGACUGCCGGUGAUAAACCGGAGGAAGGUGGGGACGACGUCAAGUCAUCAUGGCCCUUACGAGUAGGGCUACACACGUGCUACAAUGGCGCAUACAGAGGGCAGCCAGCUAGCAAUAGUGAGCGAAUCCCAAAAAGUGCGUCGUAGUCCGGAUUGGAGUCUGCAACUCGACUCCAUGAAGUCGGAAUCGCUAGUAAUCGUAGAUCAGAAUGCUACGGUGAAUACGUUCCCGGGCCUUGUACACACCGCCCGUCACACCAUGGGAGUGGGCUGCAAAAGAAGUAGGUAGUUUAACCUUCGGGGGGACGCUUACCACUUUGUGGUUCAUGACUGGGGUGAAGUCGUAACAAGGUAGCCCUAGGGGAACCUGGGGCUGGAUCACCUCCUUA
rnacentral:rRNA from 1 species